rnacentral:rRNA from 1 species
GACGAACGCUGGCGGCGCGCCUAACACAUGCAAGUCGAACGAGCAAAGAGGAGCUUGCUUCUCUGAGCGAGUGGCGAACGGGUGAGUAACGCGUGAGGAACCUGCCUCAAAGAGGGGGACAACAGUUGGAAACGACUGCUAAUACCGCAUAAGCCCACGGGUCGGCAUCGACCAGAGGGAAAAGGAGCAAUCCGCUUUGAGAUGGCCUCGCGUCCGAUUAGCUAGUUGGUGAGGUAACGGCCCACCAAGGCGACGAUCGGUAGCCAGACUGAGAGGUUGAACGGCCACAUUGGGACUGAGACACGGCCCAGACUCCUACGGGAGGCAGCAGUGGGGAAUAUUGCACAAUGGGGGGAAACCCUGAUGCAGCGACGCCGCGUGAGCGAAGAAGUAUUUCGGUAUGUAAAGCUCUAUCAGCAGGGAAGAAAAAAAUGACGGUACCUGACUAAGAAGCCCCGGCUAACUACGUG